rnacentral:rRNA from 1 species
UACGGGGGGGGCAAGCGUUGUUCGGAAUUACUGGGCGUAAAGGGCGCGUAGGCGGUUCGAUAAGUCAGCUGUGAAAACCAUGGGCUUAACUCAUGGCCUGCAGUUGAGACUGUCGGGCUGGAGUGUGGGAGAGGAGAGUGGAAUUCCUGGUGUAGCGGUGAAAUGCGUAGAUAUCAGGAGGAACACCAAUUGCGAAGGCAGCUCGCUGGGACGUUACUGACGCUGGAGACGCGAAAGCGUGGGGAGCAAACAGG